rnacentral:rRNA from 1 species
GCAAAACGCGAAGAACCUUACCUACUCUUGACAUCCAGAGAACUUGGCAGAGAUGCUUUGGUGCCUUCGGGAACUCUGAGACAGGUGCCGCAUGGCUGUCGUCAGCUCGUGUUGUGAAAUGUUGGGUUAAGUCCCGCAACGAGCGCAACCCUUAUCCUUUGUUACCAGCGGUUAGGCCGGGAACUCAAAGGAGACUGCCAGUGAUAAACUGGAGGAAGGUGGGGAUGACGUCAAGUCAUCAUGGCCCUUACGAGUAGGGCUACACACGUGCUACAAUGGCGCAUACAAAGAGAAGCGACCUCGCGAGAGCAAGCGGACCUCAUAAAGUGCGUCGUAGUCCGGAUUGGAGUCUGCAACUCGACCCCAUGAAGUCGGAAUCGCUAGUAAUCGUGGAUCAGAAUGCCACGGUGAAUACGUUCCCGGGUCUUGUACACACCG